rnacentral:lncRNA from 1 species
GUGGGAAACAUUUUGCUGAUGCUGUGACAUAAUUACAGUGUUUCAUCAGUCAUUGAUGGAGAAUAUUCAUCAAGACUGUCUGCUUGCUUCACUGUCCUGUUGCUUUUACCUCCUUUAGGUGGCGCUAUCACUGAUCCAGUCUGCUAUCAUGCCAGGGCUAGAUUCUUUUUUUUGCUGAGGAUUUAACAGUUUAAGUCACAAAUAAGCUGGGAUCAAACCCUGAACACAUGCACACACUUCCUGUGGAGAGAGAGAGAGAGAGAGAGAGAAAGAAAGAGAGAGAGAGAGAGAGAAAGAGAGAAAGAGAGAGAGAGGACUCCUGUAGAAGGUUGAUCUCCCAUAGGAGGACAGAAGCCUCCCACAACAUUCUGCUGCAGGUCUUCUGUGGCUGAUAUUAUUUUCUGGAGGAGGAAGCUGUGUGUGUGUGUGUGUGUGUGUGUGUGUGUGUGUGUGCGUGCGUGCGUGCGUGCGUGCAAAGAGCACUGUCAAAGGGAUGAAUGUAAUAAAUCACACUAUUUGUCAGGAAAUUUGGCUGCAGAUGAAGAAGAAACCGAGAACCUCAAGACUGAUUUGCCGUGGACAAUGUCAAUGAGUGUUUACGUAACGUCAACAAGCGCAGCUGCAUAACGCUGCUACCUGGUUCCGAUUGUCUCGUGCAACUGUGUUGUGGCCAGGGAUGAGGAAAGGCUCACGUUCUACCCUGAAGGCUGUGAAAGCAACACAAAAGCAGCUGCAUGAGGAAAAAGCAAAGUCAAACCCUUUUCGGCCUUGGAGUUCCAUCGGCGAUGAGCAGCUCAAGGAGGGAACAGAGGCUGUGGUCUCCAUGGAAACUGUGGCCGACCAAUGGUGGGUGUUUGCUGCCUGAACAUAUGACACGCUGCCUUUGGAGGGAAAGCUGGACCCAGGAAGGAGCAAAAGCAGGAGGAGGAAAUUUACACAGCAUAAAUAUGUUUGCUCUCUGAAUGAGCUCACCAUGUUUCCCCGAGCUCAUUAAAAUAUCAAACCCAGAGUUAUAUUUCAAUAUGUAGAUAUUGUCAAUAAAAGUAGCUUCAGCUUAAUAUUCUGGGUGAAGUGUUUGGUUUUAUUAUAUUAAACAUGCUACAGUAAUAUUGUCGAGUAUACCA